CAACAUGGAUGUGAGUGGGGGGGGCCACGUGGACCGGGGAAAACACAUAACUCAGAGGGAAACUGUUACAGUAAAAACGCAAGAAGCUGUUUUUUCUGCUUUGAUCGAUUCCGGGAAGCCGCCGCUGUGAGAGCUUGUCCUCAUUUCCCCCACAGACUCUGGGCUCAAUGCUCCCUGGCUGAAAUGACAACUUACAAGCACUCUCCAGGAAAGUCUUCUUGCACCAGUGAGAGGAAACCUGCACCUAUACCUAGAACAAAUAAAACAAAAAAACCCACUAUAUAAAUACUUCUACAUGGAGUUAAUUCGUUAUAUACCACCAAAAUUAAAAGCCAGGGUAAAAAUAA